CAGGGGGAUGAUCCCUUUAGUGACAAGGAUCUAAUAAAAAAGCUGGUAGACGGGUGCUCACUGCCCGAAGUCAUCCAGAGGAUCGUCCGCGUCGAUCCUACACAACGAGUCUGGGACUCGCUGGGGGCCUUCCUCGAGGUAAGUAGAUUCAUCCUCCUUUUUCCUUUCGCUUCUUCAUUUAAUUAACUUCCCAGCUCCCAUUAUGACUCUCCGAUCGCCC
rnacentral:lncRNA from 1 species